CUAAUUGAUGUGGUGGCUCUAGGGCUUGAUCAGAGGCUUCUUCUCCCUGAUAAAUAAUGAAUUAGAGUUGAGAGAGGUGCUCUCCUCCAGGGGCCAGGGGGUCUGGUUAUAUAGUCCUUCCAAGUGAAUAUGGGCCGUCGGAUCAAACCGACAUUGAUUGAACGGUUAUCCUUGAUCCUUUAGGUCGGUGGAGCGUAAU
rnacentral:lncRNA from 1 species